GACGAACGCUGGCGGCGUGCUUAACACAUGCAAGUCGAACGGAAAGGCCCUGCUUUUGUGGGGUGCUCGAGUGGCGAACGGGUGAGUAACACGUGAGUAACCUGCCCUUGACUUUGGGAUAACUUCAGGAAACUGGGGCUAAUACCGGUUAGGAGCUCCUGCUGCAUGGUGGGGGUUGGAAAGUUUCGGCGGUUGGGGAUGGACUCGCGGCUUAUCAGCUUGUUGGUGGGGUAGUGGCUUACCAAGGCUUUGACGGGUAGCCGGCCUGAGAGGGUGACCGGCCACAUUGGGACUGAGAUACGACCCAGACUCCUACGGGAGGCAGCAGUGGGGAAUAUUGCACAAUGGGCGGAAGCCUGAUGCAGCAACGCCGCGUGCGGGAUGACGGCCUUCGGGUUGUAAACCGCUUUCGCCUGUGACGAAGCGUGAGUGACGGUAAUGGGUAAAGAAGCACCGGCUAACUACGUG
rnacentral:rRNA from 1 species